GUGAAAGUAGCUUAAAAGGUAUAGUCGCAUUUUGAUAAAAUGUAGGAUACAGGUUCAAAUCCUGUCUUUCAUA
rfam:Trichoplax adhaerens isolate Grell Red Sea mitochondrion, complete genome.